rnacentral:miRNA from 1 species
CUACCAUUUCAAGCCCAAAUGUGGUAGCAAUGGAAAUUGCUACCACAUUUGGGCUUGAAAUGGUAG